rnacentral:rRNA from 1 species
CUACGGGCUGCAGCAGUAGGGAAUAUUGGGCAAUGGGCGCAAGCCUGACCCAGCAACGCCGCGUGCGCGAAGAAGGCCUUCGGGUCGUAAAGCGCUUUUCUGAGGGAUGAGAAAGGACAGUACCUCAGGAAUAAGCCUCGGCUAACUACGUGCCAGCAGCCGCGGUAAAACGUAGGAGGCGAGCGUUAUCCGGAUUUACUGGGCGUAAAGCGUGUGCAGGCGGUCUGGCAAGUUGGAUGUGAAAGCUCCCGGCUCAACUGGGAGAGGUCGUUCAAAACUACCGGACUAGAGUGUAUCAGAGGGAGAUGGAAUUCCCGGUGUAGUGGUGAAAUGCGUAGAUAUCGGGAGGAACACCAGUGGCGAAAGCGAUCUUCUGGGAUACUACUGACGCUCAGACACGAAAGCUAAGGUAGCGAACGGGAUUAGAUACCCGGGUAGUC